rnacentral:rRNA from 1 species
CGUUGCACUAUCGUUAACUGAAUACAUAGGUUAACGAGGCGAACCGGGGGAACUGAAACAUCUAAGUACCCCGAGGAAAAGAAAUCAACCGAGAUUCCCCCAGUAGCGGCGAGCGAACGGGGAGCAGCCCAGAGUCUGAAUCAGCUUGUGUGUUAGUGGAACGGUCUGGAAAGUCCGACGGUACAGGGUGAUAGUCCCGUACACCAAAAUGCACAGGCUGUGAACUCGAAGAGUAGGGCGGGACACGUGGUAUCCUGUCUGAAUAUGGGGGGACCAUCCUCCAAGGCUAAAUACUCCUGACUGACCGAUAGUGAACCAGUACCGUGAGGGAAAGGCGAAAAGAACCCCGGCGAGGGGAGUGAAAAAGAACCUGAAACCGUGUACGUACAAGCAGUGGGAGCACCUUCGGGUGUGACUGCGUACCUUUUGUAUAAUGGGUCAGCGACUUAUAUUCUGUAGCAAGGUUAACCGUAUAGGGGAGCCGCAGGGAAACCGAGUCUUAACUGGGCGUUAAGUUGCAGGGUAUAGACCCGAAACCCGGUGAUCUAGCCAUGGGCAGGUUGAAGGUUGGGUAACACUAACUGGAGGACCGAACCGACUAAUGUUGAAAAAUUAGCGGAUGACUUGUGGCUGGGGGUGAAAGGCCAAUCAAACCGGGAGAUAGCUGGUUCUCCCCGAAAGCUAUUUAGGUAGCGCCUCGUGAACUCAUCUUCGGGGGUAGAGCACUGUUUCGGCUAGGGGGUCAUCCCGACUUACCAACCCGAUGCAAACUACGAAUACCGAAGAAUGUUAUCACGGGAGACACACGGCGGGUGCUAACGUCCGUCGUGAAGAGGGAAACAACCCAGACCGCCAGCUAAGGUCCCAAAGUCAUGGUUAAGUGGGAAACGAUGUGGGAAGGCACAGACAGCCAGGAUGUUGGCUUAGAAGCAGCCAUCAUUUAAAGAAAGCGUAAUAGCUCACUGGUCGAGUCGGCCUGCGCGGAAGAUGUAACGGGGCUAAACCAUGCACCGAAGCUGCGGCAGCGACACUAUGUGUUGUUGGGUAGGGGAGCGUUCUGUAAGCCUGCGAAGGUGACCUGUGAGGGUUGCUGGAGGUAUCAGAAGUGCGAAUGCUGACAUAAGUAACGAUAAAGCGGGUGAAAAGCCCGCUCGCCGGAAGACCAAGGGUUCCUGUCCAACGUUAAUCGGGGCAGGGUGAGUCGACCCCUAAGGCGAGGCCGAAAGGCGUAGUCGAUGGGAAACAGGUUAAUAUUCCUGUACUUGGUGUUACUGCGAAGGGGGGACGGAGAAGGCUAUGUUAGCCGGGCGACGGUUGUCCCGGUUUAAGCAUGUAGGCUGAUUGUCCAGGCAAAUCCGGAUAAUCAAGGCUGAGGUGUGAUGACGAGGCACUACGGUGCUGAAGUAACAAAUGCCCUGCUUCCAGGAAAAGCCUCUAAGCAUCAGGUAACAUUAAAUCGUACCCCAAACCGACACAGGUGGUCAGGUAGAGAAUACCAAGGCGCUUGAGAGAACUCGGGUGAAGGAACUAGGCAAAAUGGUGCCGUAACUUCGGGAGAAGGCACGCUGGUGUGUAGGUGAAGUCCCUGCGGAUGGAGCUGAGACCAGUCGAAGAUACCAGCUGGCUGCAACUGUUUAUUAAAAACACAGCACUGUGCAAACACGAAAGUGGACGUAUACGGUGUGACGCCUGCCCGGUGCCGGAAGGUUAAUUGAUGGGGUUAUCCGUAAGGAGAAGCUCUUGAUCGAAGCCCCGGUAAACGGCGGCCGUAACUAUAACGGUCCUAAGGUAGCGAAAUUCCUUGUCGGGUAAGUUCCGACCUGCACGAAUGGCGUAAUGAUGGCCAGGCUGUCUCCACCCGAGACUCAGUGAAAUUGAACUCGCUGUGAAGAUGCAGUGUACCCGCGGCAAGACGGAAAGACCCCGUGAACCUUUACUAUAGCUUGACACUGAACAUUGAGCCUUGAUGUGUAGGAUAGGUGGGAGGCUUUGAAGCGUGGACGCCAGUCUGCGUGGAGCCAACCUUGAAAUACCACCCUUUAAUGUUUGAUGUUCUAACGUUGGCCCCUUACCGGGGUUGCGGACAGUGUCUGGUGGGUAGUUUGACUGGGGCGGUCUCCUCCCAAAGCGUAACGGAGGAGCACGAAGGUUAGCUAAUCCUGGUCGGACAUCAGGAGGUUAGUGCAAUGGCAUAAGCUAGCUUGACUGCGAGCGUGACGGCGCGAGCAGGUGCGAAAGCAGGUCAUAGUGAUCCGGUGGUUCUGAAUGGAAGGGCCAUCGCUCAACGGAUAAAAGGUACUCCGGGGAUAACAGGCUGAUACCGCCCAAGAGUUCAUAUCGACGGCGGUGUUUGGCACCUCGAUGUCGGCUCAUCACAUCCUGGGGCUGAAGUAGGUCCCAAGGGUAUGGCUGUUCGCCAUUUAAAGUGGUACGCGAGCUGGGUUUAGAACGUCGUGAGACAGUUCGGUCCCUAUCUGCCGUGGGCGCUGGAGAAUUGAGGGGGGCUGCUCCUAGUACGAGAGGACCGGAGUGGACGCAUCACUGGUGUUCGGGUUGUCAUGCCAAUGGCACUGCCCGGUAGCUAAAUGCGGAAGAGAUAAGUGCUGAAAGCAUCUAAGCACGAAACUUGCCCCGAGAUGAGUUCUCCCUGAGACUUUAAGUCUCCUGAAGGAACGUUAAAGACGAUGACGUUGAUAGGCCGGGUGUGUAAGCGCAGCGAUGCGUUGAGCUAACCGGUACUAAUGAACCGUGAGGCUUAACCUU